UAUAUAUAUAUAUAUAUACAUAUAUAUACAUGAAAGUGAACAAAUGGGCUGCUGCCAGUGCUUGUAGUGCAGCGGACCUUCAAUUUACCCAUCAGCCCAAAAGUGCACCAGUCUGGUAUGCCAGAUUACCAGUCCACUCCUGUUCACAUGCACUUGAACUUCACAUGUUCACAUAAACUUGAGUGACAUCCCAUUCAUCUUACAGCUAUAACAGCUUCAAUUCUUCUGGGAAGGUUUUCCACAGGUUUAGACAUGUGCUUAUGGGAAUUUUUGACCAUUCUUCCAGAAGCACAUUUGUGAGGUCAGACACUGAUGUUGGAUGAAAUACCGGUGUCCUGGCAACUGCCACACCCAGACUCAUCCAUAAGAUUGCCAGGUGGAGAAGCGUGAUUCGUCACUCGAGAGAACACGUCUUCACUGCUCUAGAGUCCAGUGACGACACGCUUUACAUUACUGCUAAGGCUCAGAUGUGGCUGCUCUCUACGCACUGUUGUUGAGCUAAUCUGAAGGCCAUGUGAAGUUUGGUCUGUAGUGACUGACUCUGCAGAAAGUUGGCGACCUCUGCACACUUUGUGCCUCAGCAUCUGCUAACCCCACUCUGUGAUUUUACAUGGCCUACUACUUCAUGGCUGAGUUGCUGUCGUUCCCAGUCACUUCAGUUUUGUUAUAUUAUCACCAACUGUUGACUGUUGAAUAUUUAUUAGUGAGGAAAUUUCACGACUGGACUUGUUGUACAGGCGGCAGCCUAUCACAGAACUACACUGGAAUUCACUGAACUUUUGAGAGCGACCCAUCCUCUUAGAGAUGUUUGUAGAAGCAGUCUAUAUGUCUACCAAUAACACUUAAGUACAGCUAUACAUGUCUAGAUAUAUCUAUGGAUUCACUACGUUAGACUGAUUAUUUUAAUGUGGUCAUCAUAUUGUAUAUUAUAUUAUAUAUUAUAUUCAUGCUUUUAUGGAAAUUCAUUUUGAGAAUUGAGUUAGUAUAAGAUGGUAAUCUCAGUAAAGUUUCAGCACAAACUCAGUUUAGUAUAAUUUUGAAUUCUAUAUUGAGUAAAAAUUUCAAAUCUUUGUACUUUGUAUUGCUGUGUCUGACCUUACAUUUUAAUAUUCUCAAUAUUUAUCUUGUGAUCCAUAAUUAAAUUUUGAAUCAUUUUGCUUCAUGCAGUCGUAUUCAGUUUGCAAGUUAAUUAAAUUUUCCGUUUUAUCAUUUCAAAGCAGAAUUUAUCACUCUAGAGGAGCACAUGCAGUUUUUAGAAAUAACUUACUGGUGUCAUAACCAUGUGAUGCUUAACAUUAUCCAGGACUGUCUGGCGUCCUGAGGAAUAAACUAGACUUACACAUUCUGAAGGUUACAGCUUUACUAGCGUCAUACUGUACUGGAUCUUCUCGUC
ensembl:lncRNA